rnacentral:lncRNA from 1 species
UAAUGAUCACAUGGGGUACUUCUAGCAUUACAAAGUUGAUAAAGUAUGAUAUAUGGGACCAACAUCUCGAUGAGUUGUUUAAUAGCUGGGAUUCUCUCUGAAUGAGAAGUCUCGCAUCUUGCCAUGUAGCUUGUGGCUACUAAUUAAAUGGAGAAAGUUCCUUUGAUGAUAUACCAUGCACGGGCGUUAGCCAGCAGAUAGCUAUACUUUUUUAGUGUUAUUUCUCUUUCGUAUGCAAUGAAGGCAG